rnacentral:rRNA from 1 species
AGAGAUUCUUGUUUAUCUUAGUGGCGGACGGGUGAGUAACGCGUGAGCAACCUGCCUUUCAGAGGGGGAUAACGUCUUGAAAAGGACGCUAAUACCGCAUGAUAUUAUGGAGUCACAUGGCUCUAUAAUCAAAGGAGCAAUCCGCUGAAAGAUGGGCUCGCGUCCGAUUAGGUAGUUGGCGGGAUAACAGCCCACCAAGCCGACGAUCGGUAGCCGGACUGAGAGGUUGAACGGCCACAUUGGGACUGAGACACGGCCCAGACUCCUACGGGAGGCAGCAGUGAGGGAUAAUGGUCAAUGGGGGAAACCCUGAACCAGCAACGCCGCGUGAGGGAUGACGGCCUUCGGGUUGUAAACCUCUGUCCUCUGUGAAGAUAAUGACGGUAGCAGAGGAGGAAGCUCCGGCUAACUACGUGCCAGCAGCCGCGGUAAUACGUAGGGAGCAAGCGUUGUCCGGAUUUACUGGGUGUAAAGGGUGCGUAGGCGGUUUGGUAAGUCAGAAGUGAAAUCCAUGGGCUUAACCCAUGAACUGCUUUUGAAACUAUCGAACUUGAGUGAAGUAGAGGUAGGCGGAAUUCCCGGUGUAGCGGUGAAAUGCGUAGAGAUCGGGAGGAACACCAGUGGCGAAGGCGGCCUACUGGGCUUUAACCUGACGCUGAGGCACGAAAGC